AACGAACGCUGGCGGCAUGCCUAACACAUGCAAGUCGAACGAGCCCUUCGGGUCUAGUGGCGCACGGGUGCGUCACGCGUGGGAACCUGCCCUUAGGUUCGGCAUAACUCUACGACAGGGGUGCUAAUACCGGAUAAUGUCUUCGGACCAAAGAUUUAUUGCCUUGGGGUGGGCCCGCGUUGGAUUAGCUCGUUGGUAGGGUAAAAGCCUACCAAGGCGACGAUCCAUAGCUGGUCUGAGAGGAUGGUCAGCCACACUGGGAGUGAGACACGGCCCAGACUCCUACGGGAGGCAGCAGUGGGGAAGAUUGAACAAUGGGCGAAAGCCUGAGCCAGCAGUGCCGCGUGAGUGAUGAAGGCCUUAGGGUUGUAAAGCUCUUUUACCCGGGAUGAUAAUGACAGAACCGAGAGAAUAAGCACCGGCUAACUCCGU
rnacentral:rRNA from 1 species